CCCUCUCCCUCCGCUUCUCCGGCGGCGCCCCGGAGGACGAGGGGCCGCAGGGGUCCGAAGGACGCUUCUGCCCCGACAUACUCACUCCUGAAUCAGACAGAUAAAAACAUUGAUAAAACAAAGUGAAGGACUGUUAGAUUCAGAAGGUUAUGCUGAUGAAAGCUACGUGCACCUGCAGUAAACGGAAGUGUGGACGCUGUUGGUGGGGCGAGCUGCACCUGACAUGGCGCCCGCUGCCGUCCGGGAGGGGCACUGCUCUCACUUCAGUCACGAUACUAGGCACUAAACUUACUGUUCAGCGAGUGGGUGUCGAUUUGAUGAAACAAUAAGAAACAGAUACUCAUGGACAAAGACUGAACUUUGAUCAGCACUAUUAAGGAGUGCAUUGCACAGUGAGGCAAAGUCCAGGUUGUGUAAAGGUAAUUAAUUACAAAUAUAUAUACCCUAUUCUAUGGGUUCAAAUAUCUGUUUGUGCUGAGGUCACUAAUGGACCAGUGAGAGCAUUUCAAACACACCUGUUUUUGGCCAUUUUCAUAAUCGAUAUGAGGACUGUUUAUGCAUGACGUGUUG